CCUACGGGUGGCUGCAGUGGGGAAUAUUGGACAAUGGGGGCAACCCUGAUCCAGCCAUGCCGCGUGUGUGAAGAAGGCCCUCGGGUUGUAAAGCACUUUCAGUGAGGAAGAACGCCUGGUGGUUAAUACCCAUCAGGAAAGACAUCACUCACAGAAGAAGCACCGGCUAACUCCGUGCCAGCAGCCGCGGUAAUACGGAGGGUGCGAGCGUUAAUCGGAAUUACUGGGCGUAAAGCGCGCGUAGGUGGCUUGAUAAGCCGGUUGUGAAAGCCCCGGGCUCAACCUAGGAACGGCAUCCGGAACUGGCAAGCUAGAGUGCAGGAGAGGAAGGUAGAAUUCCCGGUGUAGCGGUGAAAUGCGUAGAGAUCGGGAGGAAUACCAGUGGCGAAGGCGGCCUUCUGGACUGACACUGACACUGAGGUGCGAAAGCGUGGGUAGCAAACAGGAUUAGAUACCCCAGUAGUC
rnacentral:rRNA from 1 species